GGGGCAUCGAUGGAGACGGCAUCGGAGAUGAGCAUCGAGGAAUGCUUUGAAAAAGAUCCGAUUGAGAAAGUGUGGAUGGAAGAGGCGGGCGACAACCUAGAGAAAAAUCUGUCCAAGACGAUAGAGACUGGACGAUCUCUGGAGAUGGUGACCCCUACUGGGCAUUUUCUUGCAUCCACUGCUCAUGUCGGACUUUCAGAUCU
rnacentral:lncRNA from 1 species